rnacentral:tRNA from 1 species
GCCCCCAUCGUCUAGAGGCCUAGGACGCCAGGUUCUCAUCCUGGUAACACCGGUUCAGAAUCCGGUUGGGGGUGCCA